UGACGUUUAGAACUUUUAUGCGUGUUCGGAAUUCUAAUUACCGCCUUGCAUUGAAUUCAUGAUCAAAGGACAAAUUUUCUCUUACAACGAUCUCGAUUAAAAAAGGAGCUUUAAAUUAGAGCAAAUUUCUCCUAAGAUCAUUCAUUCCAUGCAAGGUGAUAAUUAGAAUCACUAACACGCAUAAAAGUUCCAAAACCACCUACCAAAAAGAAACUUUCUUGCCAAAUCCUCAAUCUCUCAACCAACUAUGAAUAACCCAAAUCCCAGAAUCUCACCAGGGCAAGCUCCCAAUCCCGACCCCUCAACACCAGCAUCAAUAUCAGUAGGGCCUUUACUUACUAUAGAUUUCCCCCAAUCCUACUGAGGAAGAGCUGAGGCACACACAAUAUCAGCGUGGAAAUUGGGAAAGAGACAACGUUAUGGUCAAAGCCUUUAGAAUAUUCUUCUUUCUGUUUAUAUUUUUCUGCUUAUGUGGUUUGAGAGGAACAAUGGAAGAUAAAAUGGAUGCUAAAGCUUAAGGAGUUCAGUCGCCACUAUUUCUUCCAAAUUAAGGUGUUACGGUCGGAUAUCACUGGACACGGGCUAUGAUGUAUGCUAUUACAAUGGGUUGCUGCACUUGGCUUCGACGCCAACUCUUCACAGUGUGCGACUUACUCGACCAUGAGCCAAAUACUUUAGAAAUGCGGUGUUGGAUUCCAACGUUCAUAUAUCACAAGAAUGAAGUGGGGGUUAAGGGAGAGGAAGAGGAAGCUGCACUAGAGUGCAUGAUUUGUCUGUCACCAUUUGAUGAAGGAGAGGAGAUUAAUUAGGCAAUUGCCAUCAUGCAAACACUUGUUUCAUGCAACUUGUUUUGACUUGUGGCUCAACUCACAUAGCAACUGUCCAAUUUGUUGUAGCAUUUUAUCACUAACUCUCAAAUAAGAAGAGUAUAUUUUCUUAUUUUAUUUACAUGUAUUAUUAAACUUGUCAUAACAUUCAUAGAGUUUUUCUUAUAA